CAAUAUUCAUACCCCAUGCUCCUACAUCAGAAACUGGAGACUUCUUUUCCUUCUCCAUUUUUUUUCUCAGAUCCAAGCUCAAAUCAACAAACCGUUUUCUGUUUUUUUUUUCUUUGUUUAUGCAACAAUAUGAAGAGAGGUGGACAACCAAAGCAGACAGAAUUGCAGGCUGCAGAAGUCACUCACCUCCCUCUGAGAGCCAGCAAGAGUUUUUGAGUUAUAUAAACAUAUACAAAGGCAAAAACCCAAUGUAAAAGACAAAGGUGAAGGCUAGGCUAUAUUGGCUGGCCUCAUAUUCUC
rnacentral:lncRNA from 1 species